CGUGGGGAACCUGCCCCAUAGUCUGGGAUGCCACUUGGAAACAGGUGCUAAUACCGGAUAAGAAAGCAGAUCGCAUGAUCAGCUUUUAAAAGGCGGCGUAAGCUGUCGCUAUGGGAUGGCCCCGCGGUGCAUUAGUUAGUUGGUAAGGUAAAGGCUUACCAAGGCGAUGAUGCAUAGCCGAGUUGAGAGACUGAUCGGCCACAUUGGGACUGAGACACGGCCCAAACUCCUACGGGAGGCAGCAGGC
rnacentral:rRNA from 1 species